GGAACACGUAAGAACAUGUAUUGCUGAUAUUUGUAAUUCAAUUCAUGUUUCGAAAGAAAGUCAGUCAUUAUGACAAUUUGCUAUUCCUCCUUAAAUAAUAAACUUUUGACAGAAGAAAUGCCUCGGAGAUUGAUUGUCACUCAUUUCUUCAUGAAGGGUUUAAAGAAAGCUAUGUCGAACAACUCAACAGAUACCAAAGCCACCAGAGUGGCGCGUCUUCAGCAUGGCUACAUGUAAAUCAUGCUAGGAAACCAAGUCGCAUGAAAUUGUGAAAAAAAAUCUUAAUGUAUUUAUUACCUAAGGAAGACCCAAGAAGUGAUUGAAUGAGUGUAACACUAUGGAAUUCGAAAGCCAAAGGGUUCAAUAUUCUAUCUUUGUAAUUAUGUAUUUGUUGUUCCUAAAUGCGCCAUCGGUUCAAUGUAAAUAGAAAAAUGUUAAUCGUUAUCUUGACAUUUGUAGUGCAUAACGGUAUAUUCGUCAUUUGAAUGGCGUAAGAUGUAAAUGGAAUAUAUGUUUGUGUAGAUGCGUAACAAGUGAAUGCAUUAUUUAUUCAAUGUAAAUUUGAAAUUAGAUCUUCGUCAUCCGUAGUUGAGCAUUUGCACAUUGUAGUUUGUUAAGUCUAUGCGAGUUGUGGUAAAUGUGUUUUGGUAAUCCGUCCGAUGUUAGUUCGACAUUCGCAUUUGCGCAAUUCAACAUUUGUAAAUUGUUCUACCAUUAUGACGACAGAGGGCGCGCGCUACAUCGUAUCUUUUGGGAAACAGACUAUAGAAUCAUAUUAUAGGAGGACCAGUUAAUAACACUCGGGACUACUUGGGUGUCUAGCACACUCAACAUUAACCGGUUGGCGCUAAAAGUCGUUGAAAAUGUGCUGCUGAAGUAGUUUGAUCAGAGACUUCAUGUAGAACAUUGUUGUAAGCAUCAAUAUAGAUGACUGGACUGAUUUUUUCCAUGAGUUUACUUUAAACAAACAGUGUAUGCCAUUUAGUAACCAUAUACCACCAGGGACGUUACAUUUAUUUGUGCGAGACCAAGAACUCUUGUACAUAUUUGCUUUGAUUGGGAUUGAUUUUCGUUUUCGCGCCCCUUCCCCACCAUUUUUGCAUUACUGCCACUGAAAUACGUAAUUCACAAUAUUAAAUAGUUAAUAUGUA